rnacentral:rRNA from 1 species
UACGGGGGGGGCAAGCGUUGUUCGGAAUUACUGGGCGUAAAGGGCUCGUAGGCGGCCAACUAAGUCGGAUGUGAAAUCCCCAGGCUUAACCUGGGAACUGCAUCCGAUACUGGAUGGCUUGAAUCCGGGAGAGGGAUGCAGAAUUCCAGGUGUAGCGGUGAAAUGCGUAGAUAUCUGGAGGAAUACCGGUGGCGAAGGCGGCAUCCUGGACCAACACUGACGCUGAGGAGCGAAAGCCAGGGGAGCAAACGGG